GUUUCUGAGACGUUUAAUAGUAAUUAAGGUAAUGAAGUGGUUUAUAAUUAGCCAUAACGAUACAUUACACUAGAUUACAUCAUGGGUUUAUUAAACGUUACUCAGUCAGAACCUGCUGUUGUUGUUUAAGAUAACUGAUGUAUUGGGGGAACAAAGGUCAGGACAUUCUUCUGUGUAGCCUCUCUUUAGGGUUGGUACAGUAGGUCUUAAAGUAGAAGGUCAGGACAUUCUUCUGUGUAGCCUCUCUUUAGGGUUGGUACAGUAGGUCUUAAAGUAGAAGGUCAGGACAUUAUUCUCUGUAGCCUCUCUUUAGGGUUGGUACAGUAGGUCUUAAAGUAGAAGGUCAGGACAUUCUUCUGUGUAGCCUCUCUUUAGGGUUGGUACAGUAGGUCUUAAAGUAGAAGGUCAGGACAUUCUUCUCUGUAGCCUCUCUUUAGGGUUGGUACAGUAGGUCUUAAAGUAGAAGGUCAGGACAUUCUUCUCUGUAGCCUCUCUUUAGGGUUGGUACAGUAGGUCUUAAAGUAGAAGGUCAGGACAUUCUUCCGUGUAGCCUCUCUUUAGGGUUGGUACAGUAGGUCUUAAAGUAGAAGGUCAGGACAUUAUUCUGUGUAGCCGCUCUUUAGGGUUGGUACAGUAGGUCUUAAAGGAGAAGGUCAGGACAUUCUUCCGUGUAGCCUCUCUUUAGGGUUGGUACAGUAGGUAUUAAAGGAGAAGGUCAGGACAUUCUUCUGUGUAGCCUCUCUUUAGGGUUGGUACAGUAGGUCCGUGUAGGUCUGUGUAGCCUCUCUUUAGGGUUGGUACAGUAGGUCUUAAAGGAGAAGGUCAGGACAUUCUUCUGUGAAGCCUCUCUUUAGGGUUGGUACAGUAGGUCUUAAAGUAGAAGGUCAGGACAUUCUUCUGUGUAGCCUCUCUUUAGGGUUGGUACAGUAGGUCUUAAAGUAGAAGGUCAGGACAUUAUUCUGUGUAGCCUCUCUUUAGGGUUGGUACAGUAGGUCUUAAAGUAGAAGGUCAGGACAUUAUUCUCUGUAGCCUCUCUUUAGGGUUGGUACAGUAGGUCUUAAAGUAGAAGGUCAGGACAUUCUUCUGUGUAGCCUCUCUUUAGGGUUGGUACAGUAGGUCUUAAAGUAGAAGGUCAGGACAUUCUUCUCUGUAGCCUCUCUUUAGGGUUGGUACAGUAGGUCUUAAAGUAGAAGGUCAGGACAUUCUUCCGUGUAGCCUCUCUUUAGGGUUGGUACAGUAGGUCUUAAAGUAGAAGGUCAGGACAUUAUUCUGUGUAGCCGCUCUUUAGGGUUGGUACAGUAGGUCUUAAAGGAGAAGGUCAGGACAUUCUUCCGUGUAGCCUCUCUUUAGGGUUGGUACAGUAGGUAUUAAAGGAGAAGGUCAGGACAUUCUUCUGUGUAGCCUCUCUUUAGGGUUGGUACAGUAGGUCCGUGUAGGUCUGUGUAGCCUCUCUUUAGGGUUGGUACAGUAGGUCUUAAAGGAGAAGGUCAGGACAUUCUUCUGUGAAGCCUCUCUUUAGGGUUGGUACAGUAGGUCUUAAAGUAGAAGGUCAGGACAUUCUUCUGUGUAGCCUCUCUUUAGGGUUGGUACAGUAGGUCUUAAAGUAGAAGGUCAGGACAUUAUUCUGUGUAGCCUCUCUUUAGGGUUGGUACAGUAGGUCUUAAAGUAGAAGGUCAGGACAUUAUUCUCUGUAGCCUCUCUUUAGGGUUGGUACAGUAGGUCUUAAAGUAGAAGGUCAGGACAUUCUUCUGUGUAGCCUCUCUUUAGGGUUGGUACAGUAGGUCUUAAAGUAGAAGGUCAGGACAUUCUUCUCUGUAGCCUCUCUUUAGGGUUGGUACAGUAGGUCUUAAAGUAGAAGGUCAGGACAUUCUUCUCUGUAGCCUCUCUUUAGGGUUGGUACAGUAGGUCUUAAAGUAGAAGGUCAGGACAUUCUUCCGUGUAGCCUCUCUUUAGGGUUGGUACAGUAGGUCUUAAAGUAGAAGGUCAGGACAUUAUUCUGUGUAGCCGCUCUUUAGGGUUGGUACAGUAGGUCUUAAAGGAGAAGGUCAGGACAUUCUUCCGUGUAGCCUCUCUUUAGGGUUGGUACAGUAGGUAUUAAAGGAGAAGGUCAGGACAUUCUUCUGUGUAGCCUCUCUUUAGGGUUGGUACAGUAGGUCCGUGUAGGUCUGUGUAGCCUCUCUUUAGGGUUGGUACAGUAGGUCUUAAAGGAGAAGGUCAGGACAUUCUUCUGUGAAGCCUCUCUUUAGGGUUGGUACAGUAGGUCUUAAAGUAGAAGGUCAGGACAUUCUUCUGUGUAGCCUCUCUUUAG